rnacentral:rRNA from 1 species
CCUACGGGUGGCAGCAGUGGGGAAUAUUGCACAAUGGGGGAAACUCUGAUGCAGCGACGCCGCGUGAGUGAUGACGUAUCUCGGUAUGUAAAGCUUUGUCAGUAGGGAAGAAAAUGACGGUACGUGACCAAUAAGCUCCGGCUAACUACGUGCCAGCCGCCGCGGUAAUACGUAGGGGGCAAGCGUUAUCCGGAUUUACUGGGUGUAAAGGGAGCGUAGACGGCAGGGCAAGUCUGGAGUGAAAGGCGGGGGCUCAACCCCCGGACUGCUGUUGAAACUGCCAGGCUGGAGUGCAGGAGAGGUGAGUGGAAGUCGUAGUGUAGCGGUGAAAUGCGUAGAUAUUAGGAGGAACACCAGUGGCGAAGGCGGCUUACUGGACUGUAACUGACAUUGAGGCUCGAAAGCGUGGGGAGCAAACAGGAUUAGAUACCCCAGUAGUC